rnacentral:rRNA from 1 species
CCUACGGGAGGCAGCAGUGGGGGAUAUUGCACAAUGGGGGAAACCCUGAUGCAGCGACGCCGCGUGGGUGAAGAAGCGCCUCGGCGCGUACAGCCCUGUCAGCAGGGAAGAAAAUGACGGUACCUGAAGAAGAAGCCCCGUCUAACUACGUGCCAGCAACCGCGGUAAUACGUAGGGGGCAAGCGUUAUCCGGAUUUACUGGGUGUAAAGGGGGCGCAGACGGCGAUGCAAGCCAGGAGUGAAAGCCCGGGGCCCAACCCCGGGACUGCUCUUGGAACUGCGUGGCUAGAGUGCAGGAGGGGCAGGCGGAAUUCCUGGUGUAGCGGUGAAAUGCGUAGAUAUCAGGAGGAACACCGGUGGCGAAGGCGGCCUGCUGGACUGCAACUGACGUUGAGGCCCGAAAGCGUGGGGAGCAAACAGGAUUAGAUACCCUUGUAGUC